UCGGGUGUGGUGCACGGUGCACAGCGGCUUCUAUUUAUAAUAAUUUUAUAGCUUUCAAUGUAAGCUAAGUAGCCGCAGUCCGGGGCUCGACUCCCCGCACCCGAU